GAUGUGCUCUGAUUAGUACAAUAUUUGGGGUCUCAGCAGUUUUACUGAAAAAUCCCAGAACCACCUUUUGUGGGGCUCAGAAAGGAGACUGUGAUGAGAACUGCGCUCAUCCUUCCUGCAUCCAGACCACCAGAGAAGAGGGUCUGUACAACACAGGGAGAGCUUGUUUCUAGCACAACUACAUGCUGUCACCUGUGAUACACGCCAGGCUCUGCAAAGCAGAACUAGGUCUAAAGGACUGCAAGUCAUUUUGUCCAUCUAGGAAGAAAGAUAGGCCUAAAUGGGUUCAGGGCUGUGAUGGGGACUGUCACACUGCAGACUGGGAGUGGAGGCCAGUGGAGAUCAAAUCCAGUACAAGCAGGGCUGGGACAGGCUGUGGGCCAGGCAGGGAGAAUCUCGUCAGCUGACAGCAAAUAACUCCCCAACACUGAGAAGGACUCUUCAGGAUGUAUUUCUUCUUUUCAUUCCUCCUUUGAAGAACAUGUCCCUUCUGUACCAUCCUCCUUGGUCUUCUCCAAAGAAUUUUUUUUCUUGGACUCAG
rnacentral:lncRNA from 1 species